GACUUCCUUUCCAUGAGUUGAGGCAAGUUCAAUUAUGGUAGACAUACUAGGUUAUGUGAGAGCCUGCUUGCAAACUGGGAAACUUGUUUUCUUGGCAAUUUUGGUCGCUGGAGGAAUUGUCUUGCAAGUUUUGGCUUGUGCUUUGUACAAUAAUUGGUGGCCAAUGCUAACAGGAUCAUCAUGAGAAAGCAUUAAAAAUCACAAUUUACUUUGGUAUUAAUGGACAGAUUAGGUCCUCGAUGGAUUAGGCCCCGUCCACCAAGGCUCCCAAUAUUACCAUCGAUGGAGAGAUAAUACACGUAUUAAGGGAUCCUUAUUCAAUUAAUUUGUGGAAUGUAUUCAUUUUAAAAACUUAUCCAUGUCAAGUUUCUUCCAGCUCGUGUGGCUCAACUUUGGUAAUAAUCAUGAGCUUUUAUGGGAUUAUGGAAUGUGUGCUGAUACUAGCAGAGGGGCUGCAGUUAGAUUACUAGCAGAGGGGCUGA